GCAGGUAGAAUGUGGCUGCCUCGGUGUGCUGCUGGGGAGGAAAGUCCGGGCUCCGGAGGACAGCGUAACGGGUAACUCCCGUCUGGUCUAACUUUAACCUAGACCAAGGAUUAGAGCCACAGAGACGAGUAGAGGCAUAUGCCUUGAAGUGAAACGCGGCAAUCUCUACGCGGAGCAAGGCUGAAUAGGAGAUGAGCGCUAGUCCUGGCGCGUUAUUUAAUCUCGGGUAAGCUGCUUGAGUCCUGGUGGUAACAUCGGGAUCGAGAGGAAUAGCCACUUUAGAUGCGGAAAGUCGUAUCGAGACAGAACCCGGCUUAUUCUACCUGCUUAU
rnacentral:RNase_P_RNA from 1 species